CAAAAAUAUAUAUUUAAAAUAUCUCACAUUUCAUCAAGUUAACGUGUGCUUUCCAUUAUCUGAAAAUCUCAUUAACAGAUAAUUUUAUGACAUUGACACCCAAUUUUUGAAGUUGAAGGAAAAUAAGGGUUUUUUUUUUUUUUUUGUAAAAUCUCAUAAAUAAUGGAACAAACUUUCUUGCAGUAUAGGCUUUCCUAUUCACUUCGCCCAGAGUAUUUUAGAAGGACUGAGGAAAAAAAGAUAUUUUACCUUGUAUAUAUUGGAAAAAUAACUAGAUGGGAGGGUUCUGGAUUAGUUGUUUUUUUCAGAUAUUUGUAUUUCAGCUAAUUUAUCCUUUUAAAAAUGUGAUUACUAGUUUCUUACCAUAUGUUAAUUAAGUAGUCAAUGACUUGAAAUGAAAAAUACAAUUGAUAGUUACUUUAGUAAUAACUUACAACUUCUUAUUCACAUAUUGGUUAAUGGGAAAAAUGUGUGUUCAUGUGAUAAAGAUUAUUGCAAAUCAUUAUAUAAAUAAUGGUAAAAAGAAUACAGAGCUGGUGACACUU
rnacentral:sRNA from 1 species